rnacentral:rRNA from 1 species
AGCGAACGCUGGCGGCAGGCCUAACACAUGCAAGUCGAACGAACUCUUCGGAGUUAGUGGCGGACGGGUGAGUAACACGUGGGAACGUGCCUUUUGGUUCGGAAUAACUCAGGGAAACCUGUGCUAAUACCGAAUGUGCCCUUCGGGGGAAAGAUUUAUCGCCAUUAGAGCGGCCCGCGUCUGAUUAGCUAGUUGGUGAGGUAACGGCUCACCAAGGCGACGAUCAGUAGCUGGUCUGAGGGGAUGACCAGCCACACUGGGACUGAGACACGGCCCAGACUCCUACGGGAGGCAGCAGUGGGGAAUCUUGCGCAAUGGGCGAAAGCCUGACGCAGCCAUGCCGCGUGAAUGAUGAAGGUCUUAGGAUUGUAAAAUUCUUUCACCGGGGACGAUAAUGACGGUACCCGGAGAAGAAGCCCCGGCUAACUUCGUG